UGCCUACGGGGGGCAGCAGUGGGGAAUAUUGGACAAUGGGCGCAAGCCUGAUCCAGCCAUGCCGCGUGAGUGAUGAAGGCCUUAGGGUUGUAAAGCUCUUUCGGCGGGGAAGAUAAUGACGGUACCCGCAGAAGAAGCCCCGGCUAACUUCGUGCCAGCAGCCGCGGUAAUACGAAGGGGGUUAGCGUUGCUCGGAAUCACUGGGCGUAAAGCGCACGUAGGCGGGUUGCUAAGUCAGGGGUGAAAUCCUGGAGCUCAACUCCAGAACUGCCUUUGAUACUGGCGACCUUGAGUCCGGGAGAGGUGAGUGGAACUGCGAGUGUAGAGGUGAAAUUCGUAGAUAUUCGCAAGAACACCAGUGGCGAAGGCGGCUCACUGGCCCGGUACUGACGCUGAGGUGCGAAAGCGUGGGGAGCAAACAGGAUUAGAUACCCGAGUAGUC
rnacentral:rRNA from 1 species